CCUACGGGAGGCAGCAGUGGGGAAUAUUGGACAAUGGGGGGAACCCUGAUCCAGCGACGCCGCGUGAGUGAAGAAGUAAUUCGGUAUGUAAAGCUCUAUCAGCAGGGAAGAAAAUGACGGUACCUGACUAAGAAGCCCCGGCUAACUACGUGCCAGCAGCCGCGGUAAUACGUAGGGGGCAAGCGUUAUCCGGAUUUACUGGGUGUAAAGGGAGCGUAGACGGAGCGGCAAGUCUGCUGUGAAAGGUCGGGGCCCAACCCCGGGACUGCAUGGGAAACUGUAGAACUGGAGUGCAGGAGAGGUAAGCGGAAUUCCUAGUGUAGCGGUGAAAUGCGUAGAGAUUAGGAGGAACACCAGUGGCGAAGGCGGCUUACUGGACUGUAACUGACGUUGAGGCUCGAAAGCGUGGGGAGCAAACAGGAUUAGAUACCCCUGUAGUC
rnacentral:rRNA from 1 species